UGGCGGACGGGUGAGUAAUGUCUGGGAAACUGCCCGAUGGCGGGGGAUAACUACUGGAAACGGUAGCUAAUACCGCAUAAUGUCUACGGACCAAAGCGGGGGACCUCCGGGCCUCGCGCCAUCAGAUGAACCCAUAUGGGACUAGCUUGUAGGUAAGGUAACGGCUUACCUAGGCGACGAUCCCUAGCUGGUCUGAGAGGAUGAUCAGCCACACUGGGACUGAGACACGGUCCAG
rnacentral:rRNA from 1 species